rnacentral:rRNA from 1 species
AUGUACAUUCCUACAAUAUGUUAAUGCACCGAUCCCAUCAAAACUCCACAGUUAAGAGUGCUUGGGCUAGAGUAGUACUGGGAUGGGUGACCUCCUGAGAAGUCCUAGUGUUUUACAUG